CUCUAAUGUUUUCUAGGCAAACAGGGUGUGCUUGUCGAAGAGAUAUUCUGCCGAGCCAGAUUCGGGCGCUCCCAUCUUGCGCAAGUUGGUCACGUGGUCACUCAAUUCUUUGAUGGCUUUCACCUGCUCAUUCAGGUAAUGUGUCUCAAUGAAGUCACACAAAUGGGGGUCAUUUUUGUCAGUGGCCAGUUUGUACAGUUCCAGUAGUGACUGAUUCACAUUUUUUUCCAAAUAUAAUGCACACUCCAUCGCAUUCAGCCCGCUCUCCCAGUCAUCACAGUCUGGUUUCUUGAUAUCCUGAAGGAAGAUUCGGCCACCUCGUUGGUUCUGCAGCUUCAUCAGUUUCUCAGCAUGUUCCCUCUCCUCAUGAGAUUGGUAAAGAAAGUAUUUGGCAAAGUUCUUCAAAGCCACAUCAUCGCGGUCAAAGUAUAAGACAUGGACAGUGUCUGGUGCACAGCAGAUGUGCAGCAAAUCCUGAAUUACAACAUCACU
rnacentral:lncRNA from 1 species